UGAUAUAGGAGCUGAAGUUGGGCUCCUUCAUGACCAGUAUCUGUGACGAGAGGGGCCUGGAGCUGAUCUACGCUGCCAUGCCCAUCAGAUGUUGGCAAACACCUCAGAAGGGACAAAGGCUGGGCAGAAGAGAUGCUUUUGAAAUGGAUUCCUCUGACUGAAAGACAGGUUGAUACUGAGACCUUGCAUUACAAUUAUAAGACAUCUAUUACA